GAUGAACGCUGGCGGCGUGCCUAAUACAUGCAAGUCGAGCGAACGGACGAUAAGCUUGCUUCUCUGAUGUUAGCGGCGGACGGGCGAGUAACACGUGGAUAACCUACCUAUAAGACUGGGAUAACUUCGGGAAACCGGAGCUAAUACCGGAUAAUAUUUUGAACCGCAUGGUUCAAAAGUUAAAGACGGUCUUGCUGUCACUUAUAGAUGGACCCGCGCUGCAUUAGCUAGUUGGUAAGGUAACGGCUUCCCAAGGCAACGAUGCAUAUCCGACCUGAGGGGGGAACCGCCCACACUGAACCUGAGACCCGGUCCAGACUCCUACGGGAGGAAGCAGGAGGAAAUCUUCCGCAAUGGGCGAAACCCUGACCAGGCAAAGCCGCGUGAGGGAUGAAGGUCUUCGGUUCGUAAAACCCUGUUAUUAGAGAAAAAAAUAUGUGUAAGUAACUCUGCAGAUCUUGACGGUACCUAAUAAGAAAGCCCCGGCUAACUACGU
rnacentral:rRNA from 1 species